GACGAACGCUGUCGGCGUGCUUAACACCUGCAAGUCGAACGAAGUGGCGAACGGGUGAGUAACGCGUAAUCAACCUGCCCUUCAGAGGGGGACCACAGUUGGAAACGACUGCUCAUCCCGCCUACUGACUGAGGGGAUUGCGUCUGAUUAGCUAGUUGGAGGGGUAACGGCCCACAAAGGCGAUGAUCAGUAGCCGGUCUGACAGGAUGACCGGCCCCAUUGUGAAUGAGACACGGCCCAGACACCUACGGGAGGCAGCAGUGGGGAAGCUUCCGCAAUGGACGAAAGUCUGACGGAGCAACGCCGCGUGAGUGAUGACGGCCUUCGGGUUGUAAAGCUCUGUUAAUCGGGACGCGGUACCGGAAUAGGAAGCAACGGCUAACUACGUGCCAGCAGCCGCGGUAAUAC
rnacentral:rRNA from 1 species